UACGAAGGGGGCUAGCGUUGCUCGGAAUCACUGGGCGUAAAGCGCACGUAGGCGGCUUUUUAAGUCAGGGGUGAAAUCCUGGAGCUCAACUCCAGAACUGCCUUUGAUACUGAAGAUCUUGAGUUCGGGAGAGGUGAGUGGAACUGCGAGUGUAGAGGUGAAAUUCGUAGAUAUUCGCAAGAACACCAGUGGCGAAGGCGGCUCACUGGCCCGAUACUGACGCUGAGGUGCGAAAGCGUGGGGAGCAACAGG
rnacentral:rRNA from 1 species